GUGGGGAAUAUUGGACAAUGGGCGAAAGCCUGAUCCAGCCAUGCCGCGUGUGUGAAGAAGGUCUUCGGAUUGUAAAGCACUUUAAGUUGGGAGGAAGGGCAGUAAGUUAAUACCUUGCUGUUUUGACGUUACCGACAGAAUAAGCACCGGCUAACUUCGUGCCAGCAGCCGCGGUAAUACGAAGGGUGCAAGCGUUAAUCGGAAUUACUGGGCGUAAAGCGCGCGUAGGUGGUUUUGUAAGUUGGAGGUGAAAUCCCCGGGCUCAACCUGGGAACUGACUCCAAAACUACUGAGCUAGAGUACGGUAGAGGGUAGUGGAAUUUCCUGUGUAGCGGUGAAAUGCGUAGAUAUAGGAAGGAACACCAGUGGCGAAGGCGACUACCUGGACUGAUACUGACACUGAGGUGCGAAAGCGUGGGGAGCAAACAGGAUUAGAAACCCGGGUAGUCC
rnacentral:rRNA from 1 species